rnacentral:lncRNA from 1 species
AUAAAAUUUGGGAACAAUUUUCAGAUUUUUUAAGUCAUAAGAAAUUCUUUUAGGGUUCAUAAUUUUCCGGUGACACGUUCACGGAGCUCCACCGGAGUCCAGUGAGUCAACCACCAAAACCCCCCAUUUUUUUCCUUCUUCUCGUUCUGCCUCACGCUACCAGACACCGGAAAACAAGAAACCAGUCACCUUAUUCUCUUCUUCUUCCUCACUGCCUUUGAACCACCAGAUCUCCACCACACGCUACCAACUUCAGCAGCGAACAACAGCUCAACGCCCACCCCAUUUCCUUCUUUUCCGUUUCCGACCAGCAGCUCUCGUUGCAAAAAUCACACUCUUCUUCUCCAACCCAACCAGCCACCAGAAAACUCCCUCCAUCUUUCUUCUUCUCCACGCCUGAACUCCACAAAAAACCCUCUCCGGCAAGCCACCAUCGCCCACUGCCAAACAGAACCAGCAAAGACCUCACUCAUUCCUCCAUCUCCUCAACUAAAACCACCAUAAAGAAGCAGCAAAACACAAUCAGACCCAAAACCACCAAGCCCCUUUACAGUUCAACUCCUUGGCUUCAGCAGAAAGGCCAACAAUAACAGAUCCACCACGCCAGUCCCUUCCUCACUCCUCCAUAACGAUUUUAUUCAUUUUGCAGGUACUCCGGCGAGGUCUCGAAGCUCCAAAACCCAACUCCGGCGAACAACGAGUUGCAACAAUGAUAAAUCCGGCGAAGCAACCCGACAACAACAGCUCCACCAACGAACUUCAUCUCUCUUUUCCGGUGACCCUCUGAUUUGUUUACUCAUAUUGUUAUUCACUGAUGUUACUUUAAUGUUACUAUUUUGAGGUUGAUUCAAUAUUGAGUGGGCUGUUCAUUUUUAUUUUUUAUUUGUUAUUUUUGUUCUGUUUAAGAUGAUUACUUUGCUUGUUUACACUUUAUUUUGGUUGGUUCACUGAAUGAUUGGAGUAGUAGUUAUUAAUAUUUAUUGCCGUUGCCUUAUACUGUUCAUUUUGUGAUUUGUUGAUGUUUUCCGGAAGCUCUAUUUUUGUACUGAAGUUCAUUUAGUACUACUUACCAUUGUUGGUAUUUUAUUUUAUUUGGCUUAGUUGAGAUUCAUUUAUUAAUUCUAUUUUAUUAUUUAUUGUUGCUUUAUAUAUUCAUGUUUGGCUGCGUAUAAUUUAUUGAAAUUGAUUUUAUGCAUUUCUAAGGUUUUUCUAUUAAGCACAUGUUACUAUUUUGCUUAUUAUGUUAUAACUCUCUCCAUAUUGUUAUUGUUAGUUUUUUUUUUUAGUUGUUGUUGAUUUUUUAUUAUCAUUAUUUAUUUUACAUACUUUCUAAAUGAUUAAAGCAGGUUCUAUUGUGGUUAUUUUAAAUUAUUUAUGUUGUCAUACUUGAUUAUUAUUAUUGUUUUACUGGUUGUUACCAUUUUUUUUAUUUACAUAUUAUUUUGUUUCAUCAUUGUUAAGUUCAUAUAUUUGUGUUUAGAAACAAGUUGAUUGGCCAAUAAGAAAAUCUCUCCGUCGGUUUUGGAGGCCUCCACAUUAUAAAAAACGGAAAUUUAGUUUAAGUUUAUAUAUUUUAUAGUUAAAAAUUGGCCAAUAAAAAAAUCUCUCCGUCGGUUUUUGGAGGCCUCCCCAUUUUAUAAGACGAAAAUUUAGUUUAAGUUUAUAAAUGUUGUAUGUUAAAAUUGGCCGAUGUAGAAAUUAUCAUCGAUUUCCAAGGUCUUUCAUGUUAAUAAGACGAGUUUUAUUUUUAAGUUAUUAUUUGAGUUAUUUAUUCGUAUUCAUAUUUUCUUAGUACUAACACUUUUACUAAGUGUCUUUACAGGUACACGAAGUUGUUUUCCCUUUAAGCUAUUCGAAACGGAGUUUGAAUUAUAACUUUUAUUUAUUAUUGUUCCUUAUUAUUGUUUUAUUUUAUUAUUUGUGUAUAUUACUUGUAUAUUUACUUUUAUCUCUUCCUCAAUUUGAAAAAGUGAAUUCAAUCGGGAUUCACAUUUGUGGAUUUUGAAGAAUGCCUAACACCUUUUCUUCGGAAUAACUUGAACCCAUUACCUAGAAUCUCUUGGUUUCAUAGAUCAUUUAAUUGGUUUUCUAGUUUUCCUAAAAUUAGGUGGCGACUCCUUUAAAAUUCAUUUAUUCUUAAAAUUCUUUUAAAAUCAACUUAAUUGAUUAUUUUUUGAGUCACCGCGACGUUUCGCCCUAUUUGAAUAGAGUAGGGAUGUAAACAGGGAGUCCUGAUAGCUGAGACAUCGGGCAGUGAUUCCCAGACAGAUGGAGUGACUGAUAUGCAGACUUAACCCCCAAGCCUAGCCUGGCAAGAUUCUUACCUCCCUCUCUGUUAUCUUAUUGACUGUUGUGUUUUAGUUGCAUUUGAGGAUAACUGCAUUUUUUGUUGGUGGGGUGAGGUAUUUUCAUACCUACCUCUUAAGGCUGCGCAACGGAUCGGAACGGAACGGAACGGUUUGAUAGGUUUGUUGAUCGGUACCGGGAUAAACCGGAUCGGAAUUACCGGGAUGAAUACUCGGCUCCGUCCCGUCCCACUAUAUACCGGGAUGGAAUCGGAAUGGACCGGAAUGGAACGGGACGACGCAUCUAGCUAAUUCAAAAAAUGAUUAAAAUAUUUUUAGUUAUUUUGAUUUUUUGAAUUACGAAAAUAUGAAUGCUUUUUUUAUUUUUCUAAGUUUAAACUUUAAAUUAAUAGUUUUGAAAUUUAUAAAUUAUAAUGUAAUUUUACUUAAGUUUAUUUUUAAAAUAUAUUUUUUUUAAUUUUUACCUAUUAAGUUUACAAGUUAAGUUUAAUAAAGUUUUUUUAAAAAGUUUUUUNNNNNNNNNNNNNNNNNNNNNNNNNNNNNNNNNNNNNNNNNNNNNNNNNNNNNNNNNNNNNNNNNNNNNNNNNNNNNNNNNNNNNNNNNNNNNNNNNNNNNNNNNNNNNNNNNNNNNNNNNNNNNNNNNNNNNNNNNNNNNNNNNNNNNNNNNNNNNNNNNNNNNNNNNNNNNNNNNNNNNNNNNNNNNNNNNNNNNNNNNNNNNNNNNNNNNNNNNNNNNNNNNNNNNNNNNNNNNNNNNNNNNNNNNNNNNNNNNNNNNNNNNNNNNNNNNNNNNNNNNNNNNNNNNNNNNNNNNNNNNNNNNNNNNNNNNNNNNNNNNNNNNNNNNNNNNNNNNNNNNNNNNNNNNNNNNNNNNNNNNNNNNNNNNNNNNNNNNNNNNNNNNNNNNNNNNNNNNNNNNNNNNNNNNNNNNNNNNNNNNNNNNNNNNNNNNNNNNNNNNNNNNNNNNNNNNNNNNNNNNNNNNNNNNNNNNNNNNNNNNNNNNNNNNNNNNNNNNNNNNNNNNNNNNNNNNNNNNNNNNNNNNNNNNNNNNNNNNNNNNNNNNNNNNNNNNNNNNNNNNNNNAUAUAUAUAUAUAUAUAAAUUAUAAUAUAAAAUAUAAAUUAAUUAAUAAAAAAUAAUUAACCGAAACCAAACCGGAAUAAACCGGGAUAAAUCGGUACCGAUACACCGGUAUCAAAUCAUGAUACCGUUCCGUCCCGUGUAUCGGUUCACGGUGUCAUGUUCCGUCCCGAAGACUACCGGACCGGAACGAACCGGAAUGGUACCGGACCGAUACCGGUACAACCCAUUCCGGUGACCAUCCUUACUACCUCCUUUGGGUUGUUUUGUGAAUAUUUUGUUUUGUGAUGUGAAUAUUGGAGCUUAUUGGGUUUUAUAUCUAUCUUUUUUGUGGAAUUGUGGUUGGUGAUAAGUUGUAGCCCAUUUUUUUGAUAGAAAAUGAUUUUGAACCAAAUUUUAAAGUUUUGCCACCUCUUGUGUGUGUGAUUGUGGCUGUUCUUGUGUAAAUUUGAGUGUCAGUUGCAGUCAAUACCGAUGACUUGAAUAGUGCUCUUAAUUGAACGAAAUGAAUGUGCGGCUAUGAUGAGGCAAACUAAGUUACAUAUGCAAUAUGUGAACUUUUAGCAUCUCAUUGUGACUAGCUGAUUUUCAAAUGAGUCUCUUGUUAUGAACAUUGCACGCUAGUUAGAAAGUGUGGAGUCUUGUUUGAUAAUGGUAUCAAUGCCUUGUGUGGUGAGAUUACUUUGAACAUUAUAUUUGAUGACACCUAGAAUUUUCUCCGUUGGUCCGAUUGAUUGAGUGAAGCGAACAAUUGAAAUGAUCUUAAGCAAGAAUUUUGAAGAGUGAGCCAAUUUGACAAUAUACUUCUUUCUGGCCAAUCUUGUGAGAUGUGUGAACCUUAAUUGACACCUUUUUAGCCUAUCCUUUUCUUGGAAGAAACUUGAACAACUUUGACCUUUUUAUCCCAUCACCCAUAACCUUCAUGAAGUAUUGGUAUGUUUGAAUAGCCAACUUAGGCCAAAAUCUUAAGUUGGGGGUGUGGUGAAAAAGAAGGAAAGUCAAGAAGUGUAAAGAUUCCCCCUUUGAUGGAUUGUUUUGAAAAACAUUGAACCCCUCCAUAUAAAAAAAAGAAGAGAAAGGAGAAUGAGAAGAAAGAGACUGAAAAAGAGAAAAAGUUGUGAAAUAAAGUGUGUGAAAAGAAUGAAGAAUAAUGGGGUAUCCGGUGAUGCGUGUUGAAUAACGGGGUGGAGUUUGAACAUGUUUGAAUGUGAAAGAGAAGGAGAGAGUGAUUUUCAGGCCAUACUUCAUGAAGGUAGAAGCUACUAAGCCUAAUGACCAUACCUUUACACUCAGCCUCGUUAUAAGCCUUAAAAAGACCUUUGUGAUCUUUAGUGAGUUGAAACGAAUGUUGAUUGGAAAAUAAGGGCAAACCUAUGGGUGAAGUCNNNNNNNNNNNNNNNNNNNNNNNNNNNNNNNNNNNNNNNNNNNNNNNNNNNNNNNNNNNNNNNNNNNNNNNNNNNNNNNNNNNNNNNNNNNNNNNNNNNNNNNNNNNUGUGAGGGCAUUUGAGUACCUUUGUUGGGCUUGAAAUUGCAUUUGAAGCAAACAUUGUGAGCUUGAGUACACUUGCGUGUUGAAUAACGGGGUGGAGUUUGAACAUGUUUGAAUGUGAAAGAGAAGGAGAGAGUGAUUUUCAGGCCAUACUUCAUGAAGGUAGAAGCUACUAAGCCUAAUGACCAUACCUUUACACUCAGCCUCGUUAUAAGCCUUAAAAAGACCUUUGUGAUCUUUAGUGAGUUGAAACGAAUGUUGAUUGGAAAAUAAGGGCAAGCCUAUUGGUGGAGUCAUGCAUGUAUUCAUCUUUGUGAGUGAGAGUUGUAUGUGAUUUCGGGACUUUAAAAAAAUUGGGAAAUUUUGUGUGCAUAGGGAAUCAUCUUUAUUGUGAGGGCAUUUGAGUACCUUUGUUGGGCUUGAAUUGCAUUUGAAGCAAACAUUGUGAGCUUGAGUACACUUGAUGAUGGUGAGUCACAAUUUGAAACUUUGAGUUCACAAUUAAGCAUUGUAUGUGUAGUUUGAACCUUGUUGUGUGCAUUUAUGUUGAGUCUUAUGCAACACUAUUUGUAGACAUCCUUGUUGAACUGAAUGAUUUUGAGUUUUACUUCAGGACAAGCAAAAGUUUAAGUUGGGGGUGUUGAUGAGUCCGAGAUUUCGACUCAUUUAGGGCUUUGUUUUGAUAGUAUAAGUGUCCUCAAAUGCCUAUUUUAUGCUCUAAACGGAUGUUAAAGUGUUGAUUUGCAGCUAUGAAGACUAAGGAGUAAGACAAAGACAUGAACGGACAAAAAGGAACUAACAAGCUGAAGAAGGGAAGAAAAGUGAUCCUGGUGAUCGCCAAGACCACUCGGCGAGCUACCGAGUGGCUCUUUAGCUCGCCUAAAGUUCCACCAUGUCAACCCUGGUGAAGAACCAACUUGACGACAAGAAUGAGCAUUCGGCAGAUUGCCAAACGACUCCGCAAUGGUAACUUUGAUCGCCUAAAGUCAUAGAACCCUGAAGAUAAAUGGCCAAUGCAAAAUGGCAAUGGAAUGGGGCAAAGGGAGGAUUGGCGAUUGGUUCGGCGAGGCCCGACUUAUUCCGCCCAAUGGUCUUUCAGGCCAAAUUUUAGGCAACUACAAAUUGGAAUUUUAAAUGAAAUUUGAGGAGUUCCUGCUAGUUCCACCCAAUUCUCUCCAGUAUUUUUGAUCCCCAAAAUUUAGAGUUAGAGUUUUCUCUUAGUUUUUCAGUUCUUAUUGUAGACUUUGAGGAUUUCUAAGCUUAAUUUUGAGGAUUUGCAAGUGAGUUUCUGAAUUUCUUCAAUUUGGACCAUUGUAAGACUUGGGAACCUUUACCCAGAUCAUGACUAAUGUAUUUGGUAAUUGUUUCUCUAUUUUUAUGAUGUGUAGCUAAAACCCCAAUUCUUGGGGUGUGAUCAUUUGAUUAUGGGCUGAAUUAGAUUAUGGGUAUCGUUUAUUACUUAUUCAAAUGCUUAAUUGAAGUGGGUUUAAUUGAUAGCUAUGUUUUGAACUAAGAAUUGUAGUUGCAAAUGCAAUUCGAACUUAGAAUUCUAGGCUUGCUUGAAAAAGAGGUUUUUGAAUCAUAGCUUUCAAUUGAUGAUUGUAGUUAUCGGGUUGAUAUGGGUUUAACUUGAAAGAGUAAAUCCUAAUCUCAAUUCUACCUAUCUAGCUUAAGAGAGUAAAUGAAUUAAGGUGUGGGAUGUUCUUAUUUGCUAAGCUUGUUGAUGUUUGAAAGGAAAUCACUUGAAUCAUGAUAGUUGUUCGAGAUAAAACCAUCUCACUUAUAGUCUAGGUGACCCACUGAUAUUUAACUAUUUAUUAGUAGUUUCAAUUACCCAUAUAGUGAAAUUUGCCUAUAAUCGAUCAUAUCCUGAGAAUGCCUCUCUAUAUUGUUAUUUCCUUCGUGUUUGAUUUUGUUGUAGUUGAUAAUUGACAAUCCAAAUGCCCCAUGUCACAUUCGUUGUCAUCCCCUUAGACUUGUUUACAUGUCUUUUAGACAAAAUUAUAUUCCUAUAACCAAAUAGACCACUUUAUAACUUCAUAACUGAAAUUAGACACGUACCACUCCCUGUGGGUUCAACCCCAACUCUUCAUUAGGUUUUAUACUAGUUAACGAUUGUUUACACCUAGAAUCGGAUGAGGUGUACUUGAAACGUUAAUCAAGAGCCAAUCAUGUGGUGUGAAAAUCUUAUUUUAUUUUUAUGUGUCCUAAUAUUUUUUCUAUUAGAAGUGUUUUGCUCAUAAGUCUGAUGAAUAUACCUAUAGUUGGAUGUAAUACAAUAAAAACCUUCAACAGAUGACGUUAGCCCAUAUUGCAAUGAACUAACUUAGUUGAUACUACUUUUUUCCAUUUUUUAUCUUUUUCCUACGAUCACGAAGAUUUCUUUUCCUUUAUGCAACCUAGUAAUUCCUCUUGAGAUAUCAAUUAGUAUGUAAUGACCCUCUAGGUCAUUUCUAUAUUAUUUCUUUCUUUUCAUCGUUAAGAGAUUUCCUAUUGCGACCCCAAGUUAUUUAUGACUUUUUGAAACUGAUAGUUUGGUUACCUGGUCAUUCGUUUGGAUUAUGUGCAAGUUUCCAAGAUUUGGAGCUUCUGAAACUCAAAUGGUUGACUUCAGUAAAAAAUGUAGGCAGAUGACCUCACAAUGCAAUUCUGAUGAUUCCGUAAGCUCUAGACCAUUGAGUUUGGUCUGGAAUGAUUUUUUGUGUGGAUCACGAGGCAUCCCGGCGUAUCACGAGCCCCCUUUUGCAAUUCAGCAUAUAAUAGAGUAAGAUUGGGCACCGGACCAGAACGGGACCAUCGGAUUGGAAUGGAUUGAAACCGGAUCGGAAUGGGACGGGUUGACCGGUACCGGCAUGAAUCGGACCGAAAUUACUGGGGUGAAUGCUCGGUUCCGUCCCAUCCCACUAUAUACCGAGAUGGUACCGGAACGAACCGGACCGGACCAGAAUGGGAUGGGACGGGACGACACAUAUUUCAAAAAAUAAUAAUUUUUUUAGUUAUUUUUAAUUAUGAAAAUAUGAAUGUUUUUUUUAUUUUUCUAAGUUUAUUAGUUUUGAAAUUUAUAAUGUAAUAUUACUUAAGUUUAUUUUAAAGAUAUUUUUUUUAAUUUUUACUUAUUAAGUUUGUAAGUUAAGUUUAACGAAGUUUUUUUAAAAAAGUUUUUGAGCUUAAGUUUUCAAGAUUUGAAUCUUUUGAAGUUUAUAAGUUAUUAAUGGGACGGGACGACACAUAUUUCAAAAAAUAAUAAUUUUUUUAGUUAUUUUUAAUUAUGAAAAUAUGAAUGUUUUUUUUAUUUUUCUAAGUUUAUUAGUUUUGAAAUUUAUAAUGUAAUAUUACUUAAGUUUAUUUUAAAGAUAUUUUUUUUAAUUUUUACUUAUUAAGUUUGUAAGUUAAGUUUAACGAAGUUUUUUUAAAAAAGUUUUUGAGCUUAAGUUUUCAAGAUUUGAAUCUUUUGAAGUUAAUAGGUUAUUACUUAUUAAUAUGUUAUAAUUUAUACUUAUAUAAAAUAAAAAUCAAUUAAUAAAACAUAAUUAAUCGGAACGAAACCGGAAUUAAUUCGGAUAAACCGAUACCGGUGUCAAAUUGUAACACCGUUCCAUUUCGAGUACCAGUUCACGGUGUCCCAUUCCGUCCCGAAGACCACCGGACCGGAUCGGGAUACAUGUUCGGGGAGCUUGAAUUGACCUUUUGACAGAGUCAAUUUUGAGAUUUUUGACGUGGGUCCCAAAUUCCCGUUUUGACUCAAAUUUAGGUCCAUCUCUAAUUAAUGUGAUUAUGGUGUCUAAACGGUCGUCUUAAUGUUAUGAUUCUAUUUUUGAUAGCUUGGUAGCGUUAGGAAGCUGUUCAGAAGGGAAAAGCUCUAAAAUUGUGAAUUUCGAGCGUGUGUGGUCUAGUUUGAGGUAGGCUAUGGCUUCCCAUUCUUUAUAUUGAGCUCUAGAAUGAAAAUGCAUAUAUUUUUGUGUGAAUUUGGGUUUGUAGGUAGUUGACAUGUCUAGUUAGAUAGAAGUCAUGUUUUAGGCUUACUUUGGGUAUUUCUGGAUUGUUGACAUGUUGUUUUCUCUUGUUUAGGUCUUUCUUACUUUGUGGCAUGUAUUGUACUUGAUUAUGGUUAUUAUUGGAAGUAUUUUUGGCCUUACUAUAGGUUUAGACUAGUGCCUACCUUAGACUUGCUGGCUUUGGAGCCAAUAGGCCUAAGUUUUACUCUGACGUCGAUGCAAAGAACUAAUCUCCUUGUAGAUUGAUGUAGUUGACUUGGAUCUGAAACAAUGAACCUUAGUUAGGUGGUGACUCAUCUCCAAUUACCUUCUAUCCUUAACUCCCUCUUUCUAUGGCCCAAUGGUUUAUGGUUGAGAUAUCGGGCUUCAUUCAGUAACUAGGGAUUGGAUUUGGUUCGGCUUGGAGUAUUGUGUUGAUUACUUGGGUGUGAAUGUUGUUCCAUGGUGGCACUAUGUUGAUUAUUUGAGAUGAUAUCCUUCAUGAUAGCCUUUUAUGGUGGAGAUUCAAGGUAUGGUCAAGAAGCUCUAUUAUUGGUCAUAGAUUCAAGGUCUGGUCAUAUGAUUUUAAGCAGCAAUCCAUGAUUCAGACUCAUUUCCUCUACGUAGUUUAUAUAUAUUGUGUUGGCUCUAUUGGUUACUUUGGGAGGCCUAUUCGCGGUUUGAGGUCCGGGCUACAAACUCUUCAGCUCUAGAUUCACCAAGGUCCAUUCUCAGUAGUCAUAGUUAUUUUAUGUACCGGUUGGGCUUAUGGCGGUUUGUUCAUGUUUUUAUUUGAACUUGUGCAUGAGUGUACCAAUUUGAAUUUCUUACUCAAUUUUACACCGUUCUUACUUUUAGGAUCAUUGGGCAAGAGUGAAAGGAUCACUAGGCUUUUAGAAAAUUGAAUCUCUUAAUUCUUGGCCUUCAAGUGAGUAACACUCUCACUUCCAAAUGACUAAGAGUUGACAUAAAUGAUAUUUUUUUAUUUUUCUUGUGACCGUAGUAUCAUUUCUUUGAUUUGGGCAUCUUAGAUUAUUAUUUGCUUGAUUGGCUUGCAAAUACCCAUGAUUUCUUCAAUGGUUAUCACAACCCUUUUUUAUUGAGACUCCCACUCCAACUCUUUAUUUUUUACCACUUGACAAGGAGAAGCACGUACUUAAAUUCUUGUUCUCUUACUGGUUUUUAAAGUUGCAAAUUCAAAUUCAACUUGGAUAAUUUCAUGGAACCGGGUUAGGUGCAAAUUGCGCAAAUCAUCCCCCGUUUGGAACAUUAGAUAUUGCAGCCUCCCACCAUGUUUAAGCUUCUUGACCAAUCUCAUGAGUCAAGUUUCACUCACCAUACCCAUUUCUUCACACAUUUCUUCCUCUAGAGAUUCAUCCACAUAACUUUCUCCAACAUGAAUUCCUCCACAACAAGGCCAUGGUCAUCAACAUACGGAUUGCAACCACCAAGCCUAGUUUCAUCACAAGAAGCCAUAGAACCAACACCGAAAAGAAAAAAAAAGUAAAUAUUCACAAUUUUGAUAGAAACAAGUAAACAAUAAAUUCUAAAUCAAUUCAAUACGUUAUAUUCUUCCUCGCCAGCAGCUCUAUUUUGAUAAUGCUCAACUACCCAUAAUAUGAAUCAAUGAGUAGAUGACCACUAGCAAUAUAUAACCAAACCUAUAAGUUCAUGGUCGAUCCCACAAGGAACAAUGUGACACCAAUCAAAGAGAUAAAAAAUUACAAGCUACGAGUUUGAAUGCAAACGAAAAAUACAAUUAUAAUAUGAAGAUGUUUUAGGCAACAAUCAUGGAUAGGGGAAAAGGUAUUCUUAAGAAAAGGGUUCAAGGACGUUCGAGAACAGGGAUUUAAUUCAUGAUCAAAUGAUCCAUCACAAAUAACCAAGCAUUAUCUCUAUGAUCAUGGGUAAGUCAACUAUGCCUUGAAUUGUCAAGUACCCAUAUGUAUCUUUCGAUCACAAACAAGUAUAUCUUAACUAAUUCUUCCAAAUUUAGAAAUUAUAUAAAUUAAACAAACUGACAUGACAACACUAAGAUUAUCCUAUCUCUAGCUCAAAUCCAUGAGAUGAGGGUUAGACUCAGAUCUAGACUUUCUCAAGCUCUAGUCCAUUAGCCAAUUAUCAAAUCGUGCUAAUCAAUCUUCCCUACACUUAAGCCUCUUUCUCAAGCAAAAUCAUGAUAAAUAGGCAAAUCCUUGGGUUGAUCACGUCCUUGGAAAUCAAUUAAAUCAUGAGAUUAAUUAGAGAAUCAAGACUCAUACAUAAACAAGAUAAUAUUAAAAGGUAUUCUUAAGAAAGGGGUUCAAGGAGGUUCGAGAACAGGGAUUUAAUUAAUGAUCAAAUUAUCCAUCACAAAUAACCAAGCAUUAUCUCUAUGAUCAUGGGUAAGUCAACUAUGCCUUGGAUUUUUCAAGUAUUCACAUGCAUCUCCCAAUCACAAUCAAAUAUAGCAAAUUAAACAAUCCAAUAUGGAAACACUAAGAUUAUUCUAUCUCUAGCUUAAUUCUAAAGAUUUCAAUCUGGCCUAGAUCUAGAUUCUCUCGAACUCUAGUCAAUUAGGCAAAUCUAAAAUUGUGCUAAUCAAUCUUUCUAUACUUGAUCCUCUUUAUCAAGUAAGAUUAAGACACAUAGGGAAGUCCUUGGGUUGAUCAAUCCCUUGGAAUUCAAUUUAAGCAUGAAAUCAAUCAGAGAAUCAAAGACCCAUAUCAUAACCAAGAUAAUAUUCAAUUAAUUUGCCAAAGCACAAAACAAGAAUCAAAACCCAUUUAUGACUAUUUCUAGCUCAAAAUCCAAAUUAUGUUUAAACCAUUACACCUACAAUCGCACUACAAAACAAGGAAAUGAAUAAUGGGUGAAAAUUAUUACAAUAGAGUACUCAAUCUUCAAUCCAACAAGAGAAUUGUUAGGAUAAUUGCUAUCAAAGCCUAAACCCAAGCUAAGAAUAUGGAAUGUUCUUUUAUCUCGAAUGAAAUUAUCAAAAUAUGGUUCUGCAUUAUUAUAAAAAGGAUUUUUGAUAUCAAAAGUUGAAUUCCCAAAGCUGCUCAGAUGCUUGACAGUUUAUUCUUCCCAUCUGUGACAUUUAUUCCAUGAGAUCACGAUGAUAAAUGAUUUUGUUGAUCGCAAUCGUGACCAUUCACCACACUAUCAUGAUACUUUAUUUCUGAUCAGUUGACCACAAUCACUAUCAUGAUCAAUUUUUCAGGUCAUGAUGACACCUACUAUACCCCACAAGUAGGUAAGUCUACCCCUUAGCCUACAAUUAUAAGCAAUGGACUACCAAGUGGAAGUCAACAAUAAGAUGCAUAAAGCUUAUAACAAAGCAAAGAAAGGGUAAUUAAUAGAAAUACAACACAAGAAACCAUACAAAGACCAGUCUUCAGUCAGUAAUCAAACAUCUAAUCAAAAUAAGAGUACAAAGCUUUUACAAAUACUAGAUAGGUAUAGGUUGUCUCUGAAAACAAUAUAAAACUAAGUCUAUCCAAAAAUAGAUGAAAAUCGGCAACUCUGAAUAUUAGGAGCCCACCCUAGUCUCCGAGACUCUAAACUGCUCCACACAAAUCCAAAUCAACGGUGAUAACUCAAACUUGGAUCUGUAGAGAGCACUAGUGUAGUAUGAGUACUAAAGAUCGUACUCAGUAGGCAUUAGCCAACAGAGCUCAAAAGAUAACACAAGCAUAAACAACAAGUAAUAAGGAAAGAAUAGCACAAGUAACUAAGUAGUAGUUACUAAAGUAGACAAGCAAUAAAGAACAAAAAUAGGAUACAAGGAGUAAGAAGUCGAGUCAAGAAGAUACCUCGGCCACAAGCCAACAACCAAUCACAAGCAACUAAAAUACCAAGUCAACUACCCAGGGAUAGAAGGACCCAAGGCCACAGUUCUAAUGUCAAAGCCUAUCAGGUAAAAAGAACAUAAUAUAAACAAACAAUAACCUAACCGCACCCUCAUAAUCCCAUAAGGUACGAACAACAAACACAAUCCAAUCGGUCCCCAUAAACCAGAGGGUUCAAUCAACAAAAAAUAUGUUGGUGAUAGGAAAUGCAUAUGAAUGUAGGGUGAGAAACAAGACUAUCAAAGACCAUUUAAAACCUCUAACCCCAAGUACCUAAUAAAGGGCUCGCCGAGCCAGACCGUAGACUUCCAAGGGCACCAACCCAACUAGCUAGAGUAAACAUGGGGUCUGCUCAGCCAGAUAGUAAACUCAAGGAGAACCAGCCCAACUAGCAAGAAUAACUAAGGGUCAUAAUUAAGAGAAACCGCCCAGUUAGACACUAAACUCCCAAGUGUACCAGCCCUGCUAGAAUGAGUAAACUUGGUGCAUCAGUUUGACUAAAGCAAGCAAGAAAGGGCAUCGCCGGACCAGCUAGUCAAGUAAAACUGAGAACAUCACAGAUGCCUCUAAUAUCUCAAGUAGAAAAAUAGAGAAUGUCCUUGAUUCCCCGUAAUCUCAAAAAUUAGUAAGUCAAGUGAUCUAGGUUAUACGACUCCCAUUAAAACAAGUUUAGAAUACAAUCUUAGUAAAAUAGCAUCUCGUUUGUCAAUGCAUGAGCAGGGAUCGUACCACAAAGUCUGUGAGAAUGAAAAAUAAUGCAAAGCAUGCCAUCACCAUUAUUCAAACAAGGCACUCAAAGUCAAAUAAAUAUACAACCAAACAAACCAUGCUACCAAAGCGGAGAGCACAAACCUGGAAUCCAAAUGGUCCUCACACAUAGCCUCAGGACCUAUAAUAUAAUCAUAAGCUAAAUAAAGGUAUAAUGGGACUUUUGCUAAGCAACAAGCAAAGGGAUAAAGAAGAGCUUCCAAAUCAAUAAAGGCGGAGUAAACUAAAGGGACGACACCUACCCCAAUCAUAUCGCUCCAGUCCUUGACUGAGCAUAUCUAGUGCCAACAUACGGCUACGAUGAGCUACAAAGGUCUUAAGCACCAACACUAAAAAAAAAAACCAAAACAAGCCCUACUGGAGUAAUCCUAACUACAAGGGCGAGAAAACACAACCUAAAUCAUCUAAGGUCCAAACCUAGUCUAAGGCCACAAUGUAUCAAUCCUAAUAAGGAUAAGCUAGAUCAUCUACACCACAAGUGAAGCUACAAGCCAAUAUUAAGGAUCCCAACACCUACAAUAAGCCCAAAGCUCCUAUGGAGUCUAGAAAAUAUGGAAUGAACCAAAGGAGCUAAUACCCAGAAAAUGCAAUCCAAAAUCACAUGUAGUCUAUACGAAGCAUUAUCUAAGAAACCUAGUUAAUAAAAUAAACCAAGGAUUACCUCAAAGUCGAUCACAAGCAUUCUAAAUCCACCAUACAAGAGUUAUCUACUUCUGAAAUGCCUCCAAACACCACCACGCUAUCAAAUUAUUGAUCACAAUGUCAUGAUAGAUGUUAAGACACAAAAUUUACAAUAAUAUGAAACAAAACCAAAAUCAAGUCAAAACGAGAGAUGUGGGACCCGCAUUGGGAAUCCUAAAAUUGAAUCUAUCAAAAGGUCCUUAUCAACUAACCGAGCUUGUGCCUUGAAAUGGGGCUCAAUUCCUUUCCCACAAUAGUACAAACACACACAUGAAACAAAAUCACCAUUCAAAUAGACCAAAAAAAUCUAGGCAGCCCCUUUGUGGCAUAAAUAACCUCAACCGAAGAGUCAUCAAUACUUUUUUAUUACUCUAACACGUAGCCAUGCAAAUUUUAGAUGAAAAUCAACUUGAUUAACCCAAAAGGAGCUUUCGAACUCAAGAUAUGAAGUUUAAAAAUAAGGAGUGAACCUGAUUUUUCGCAUUUAAAUACCAGAAAUCUAGUUGGUAUAACCCAUUUCUAGUCGUUAAAAGACUAAAUUCAUGUUGUUAAAGGACUACACCACCAACACCUUGUUUUUCUAUUUUUCAAAGUCUUCGAACGGACCUCAUAAUUCUUUCGAUACCCGAUAAAAAUAAAUCAGAUAUGCUACCCUAGUAAAUUCGACAUUUUGGACUCAACUUAAUUGUCAAAACUUCCAUCUGAGGUUGUCUAUAUGAAACAUGGUUCUCAGAACCUAGUUCUAUUUUUAGCUGAAUUCCACAAGAAGGCUCAAAAUUAGACAGAAAGCCUCUGAGCUAACCGCGCUUAUGGAAUUCCCAUCCGAGAUUUUUUACCUAGAAUGUUGUCCGAAGUCAAACCUUGGCUUAAGCUUCAGAGUUAAAAUGCCUAACGAUACAAACUCGCAUCGGGAGCCUCAGGCCCAAACCAACCAUGCUCGUAGCCUAAAAUGGCCCUUCAUGAGCUGGUGAAACUAUCAAAAUUAACUUUUGACCGAAGUCAAUCAUCUAUGUUUCAAAGUCUCCAAAAUAUGGGAACUUUCACAAAACCCAAAUGAAUGACCCAACGGCUGAACUAUCAGUCCCAACAGGUCAUAAAUAAAUUAGGGUUUCUAUAUGAAAGAUCUAAACACUAAAAUAAUUAAAAUUGCGAUCCAUUGACGACUCAAUCAUGAUGCAUAAAGUCCUUCUAGUGUAAAAUUUUCAGUUUAAAUCCUUUUUUCCUCAAUUUCACUUGGUUUUUGAUUUAUCUUCUCAAUCACACUAUUUUUCAUUUUUCUGCAAAACAUAACAAAAAAAACAUUAAAAGCAUUUAUUAUCACAAAAAUAAGUCAAUAAAGUAAGCUUAAAGAUAAGAGGAGUUGGUAAAAUAACCCAUUUAUCAUGUCUCACUUGCUAAAUGUCGGCUUUCAAAAGGUUGGCUCAAUACUUGAGCUGAAAUUAGUGAGGUACAAUGGUAAAUAUGUGAUUCACCAGUCCCAACACAGUUGCUCUUAUGAGAACAGAAGGUUGAAACAAGGAAGCGUCUGGUGCUCUAGAAUUCAAUGUUGGUGUUCAGCAAGUCCAUCAUAGGUCUAAAGAUGAAAGUUUAAGGGCAAAUAUAUAAUUAUAGAAACUAGUGCAUCCUUUGGGAGGUUUGAAGGAUAGAAGGAGAAUUUGUAUAUUAUGUACUAGUAUCAUUGUAAUGACCCUCUACCUCUAGGUCAUUUCUAUGUUUAUGCCUCUUAUUUAUUGUUUAGAAUGUUCCCAUAGUGACCCUAAGUCAUUUAUGACUUGCUGGGAUUGACAGUUUGUUCACAUGGUCGUUUAUUUGGUUUCUAUGUGAGAUUUAGUGUUUUGGAGAUUUUAAACCUUUAAUGGGUUUUUUUUUAUCAAAAGUUUGAGUAGAUGACCACAAAAUAAAAUUCUAACGAUUCCAUCAGCUCUCGAAGGGUCCUUUUAGGCUAGUAACAUGGUUGGUUUGACUCCCUAGACUUUCAUGUCGAAUCAAUGUGAUUAGGAAUUUUAACUUUCAAGGUAAGGCCUACGAUUAACUUUAGUCAAUAUUAGGAAUAAACGAGUUCAGAUGAGAAUUCCUUCAACACGAUCAACUCCAGAUUAUUGAAUUUGGUCUAGAAGGACCAUUUAUUUGGAUCUCGAGGCUUUCGGGCUACUUCCAAGUCCCCUUGUAGAUUUUGGCUUAAAAUAGAGUUUGGGGAUGGAACUCACUUUUUGCCGAGAUGACCUCGUAUGAGAAUUUUAACAGCUCCAUUGAGGCUAAAAUAUAAAAAAUUUGUAGGGUUUAAAAUCUUGUUUGUGUGCAUAGGGUUCUGAAUGAAUUCAGAACACCCCAUUGAAGAUUUCCAACUUGCCAAAACCAACUAAAAUGCAUAAGCUAGUGCAGUCCAAAAAGGCCUUCGUGUUCGUGGAGGCUAGGCAACAAGGUGUCCACAUUCGUGAGGAUCAUGUCGUAUUCAUAAUGCAUUUUUAGGAUUCCUACCACAAUCACAAAGGCUCAGUUACCUCUUGGCCGCAAUCACGGGGCCUUCACUACAUUUAUGAGAGCCUUCUACAUUGGUGAAGAAGAGAUUUGUCUGGUCUUUUAUUUAAAGACCAGACCUACGAUUAGCCCUCAUUGCAAUGUUCAAUUGAAAUUUUUAGCUCAUCUUAGCUCAAAAUUUGAUGAUUUAAAUUCUGGUGUGAUCGUGGAAGUUUUGGCUCUGUGUAUGGCUGAUCGGAAUGUGUUGGGGAUUCUUCAUUUCAGGCUAUUUGGAAUUUUUUCUGGUUGCCUUAGCUUUUUUUUAGCUUUAAUGGUGAUAUUUUGCAUGUUUUGAUUGCUUGUUGUUCCAAUCCCGGAGUUGUGUUCCAUUUUGAAAUACAAGUUCGGGGGUACUUUUUUUAGACCUUUUAAUGGUGAUAUUUUGCAUGAGUCCCAAAACUCCCGUUUGACUAAUAAAUUAGUCUGUUUCCAUUUUAUGUAUUUUUAUGGUGAAAUGACUGUACUGACAUUUAGAUCGUACUUUUGAUAGCGUUGCAGCGUUCGUACGCCAUGUAGAAAGAAAAAUCUUUAACAAUGUGAUUUGGAGUGCGCGGUUGAUCUUAGGUAGGCUACGAAAUCCUUUCUAUUUUGAUUGAUCUUGAAUGCGUGAAUACAUGCUGAUUAGAAAGAAUUGGGGUAGGUACCUAGUUGUUCUUAUUUUUCUUUCUUACAUGACAUGCUUAAGGCUUGACUGGUCAUAUUUCCUUGUGUGGUACCAUGCUAGUUGGGGUGGUCUGUGUCCCUUGUUGUUGUGAAUUAUUUGUUGUUGUUACUUGUUAUAUAUCGAGCAAUUUCUACCUUAGUCAAAGAUUAGGCUAUUGUUGCCUUAGACUUAAGAUCCUAGCUACUUGUUAACAUUAUUUCUUCUCCGACGUCAUUUUUUACGGACAAGAUUCUUGUAGACUGGAGUAGCAAACUUGAGUCUAAUAGUAUAAGUCAUAGUUUAGGAUAUUUUGUAGCUUUAUAGAUUUUCUAUUCUCUCCUUCUAUUUAUGUGGCUCUGAUGCGUUAUCAGAGGUUUUUUACUUUCUUGAGAUUGGAGUAAUUCAGGCUUGGAGCUUUUGUGAUUCUUUGUGAGUGGACAUUGAUCCACAGUGGCUUGGUAUUGACUGAUGAUAUACUAGAGAUUCUAUGCGGAGUUGACACACCCCUAGGUCACUCUUUCUAGAAGGUAGCUUACACCCCUAGAAGUGAUUGUCUAGUUAAGAAGCCAUGAUAUAUAAGAUCCUCUUCAGAGUCGACAUGCCUCAGGUCACUAUUUCUAGUUAGGUGGCUUAUGCCCCUGGGAGUGGACUGUCUUACUAGACGGCCUUGAUAUAUGAGAUCCUCUUCGGCGUCGACACACCCCUCAGUUACUCUUCCUAGAUGGGAUGGGAGUGGACUGGCUGGCUGGGAGGCGUAGAAUGAUUGUCACUCUUGCUUGCUUGGCUGGGAGUUGACUAGAUUACUGGAUAUAAUGGUUACUUGGGCUUGGAGCCUAGAUUUCACUUCCUUAUACUUUUAUCUAAGUAAACUUAGUUGUUAUAUGUACCUGUAGAGCUUAUGGGGGACAUUUGGGUUUUAUUUAAAAUUGUGCAUGAGUGUACCUUCUGGUCCAGUUAGGUUUAGUUUAGUUGUACUUAGAUUUACCUUCGGUAAUCUCGUGUGUUUUCUUUCAUAUCCUCUUUGACCUCUAGUUGUGUCUAGAUUCUAUCUUGUCAUAAUGUCUUUACCUUUCUUGCUCAAUCAUCUUAUGAUCCUAUUGAUACCUUUGUUUUGGUACUCAUACUACACUCUACAUAUGUUUCAUGAUGCAGGUCCUAGUACUAGCUUCCGGUGGUGAUUGUUUGUGCCAUCUUGAGCAGCUUUUGGGGAUCAGAGAUGUGGAUGAACACUUGUCAUCGUAGAUUAACCUGUCUUCUUCUGCAUAUAUGUUUAGCUUGUAUUUUUCUUUUGAGACGGC